rnacentral:rRNA from 1 species
UACGGGGGGGGCAAGCGUUGUUCGGAAUUACUGGGCGUAAAGGGCUCGUAGGCGGCCAACUAAGUCGGAUGUGAAAUCCCCAGGCUCAACCUGGGAACUGCAUCCGAUACUGGAUGGCCUGAAUUCGGGAGAGGGAUGCAGAAUUCCAGGUGUAGCGGUGAAAUGCGUAGAUAUCUGGAGGAACACCGGUGGCGAAGGCGGCGUUCUGGACUGCAACUGACACUGAGGAACGAAAGCCAGGGGAGCAAACGGG